rnacentral:rRNA from 1 species
AUUGAACGCUGGCGGCAGGCCUAACACAUGCAAGUCGAACGAGUGGCGGACGGGUGAGUAAUGUCUGGGAAACUGCCCGAUGGAGGGGGAUAACUACUGGAAACGGUAGCUAAUACCGCAUACCAUCGGAUGUGCACAGAUGGGAUUAGCUAGUAGGUGGGGUAAAGGCUCACCGAGGCGACGAUCCGUAGCUGGUCUGAGAGGAUGACCAGCCACACUGGAACUGAGACACGGUCCAGACUCCUACGGGAGGCAGCAGUGGUGAAUAUUGCACAAUGGGCGAAAGCCUGAGGCAGCCAUGCCGCGUGUGUGAAGAAGGCCUUCGGGUUGUAAAGUACUUUCAGCGAGGAGGCGGUACUCGCAGAAGAAGCACCGGCUAACUCCGUGCCAGCAGCCGCGGUAAUAC